GAUGAACGCUGGCGGCGUGCCUAAUACAUGCAAGUCGAGCGAACGGACGAGAAGCUUGCUUCUCUGAUGUUAGCGGCGGACGGGUGAGUAACACGUGGAUAACCUACCUAUAAGACUGGGAUAACUUCGGGAAACCGGAGCUAAUACCGGAUAAUCUUUUGAACCGCAUGGUUCAAAAGUGAAAGACGGUCUUGCUGUCACUUAUAGAUGGAUCCGCGCUGCAUUAGCUAGUUGGUAAGGUAACGGCUUACCAAGGCAACGAUGCAUAGCCGACCUGAGAGGGUGAUCGGCCACACUGGAACGGGGACACGGUCCAGACUCCUAAGGGAGGCAGCAGUAGGGAAUCUUCCGCAGUGGGCGAAAGCCUGGCGGAGCAACGCCGCGUGAGUGAUGAAGGUCUUCGGAUCGUAAAACUCUGUUAUUAGGGAAGAACAUAUGUGUAAGUAACUGUGCACAUCUUGACGGUACCUAAUCAGAAAGCCACGGCUAACUACGUG
rnacentral:rRNA from 1 species